UUCCUCCACUGCUGCUGCUCCAGUAUCCCCACCUGCUCCUGGAGCGGCAACUACGGCUGCAGCGGGUGCAAAGGCGGCAGCAGAAACUCCAAGCUUAUCCUGUAGGUAGUCGACGAGGGUGCGGGCUUCCUCCAGAGUCAAGGAAGAGAUUUCAGCACCCAAUUUUUCAAUUUUCUCGGGAGCUGAAACGGCGGAAAUAGGUCGGAGGUGGGUGGAGCGAUGGGUAAGGGUGGAGAAGUUGGAACGGAGAGGGAAUUCAACAAGGAAAUGCUUGGUAGGGGAAGGUGUAAGAUAAGGGGAAGGGGAGGAGAGAGUGAGUGUUGUUGUGGAAGAGAGAGAUGUCGCCAUUUCUUCUCUGGAGAGAGAGUGACUGAGGAGCAAAGCUUAAG
rnacentral:lncRNA from 1 species